UGGCUGACUCUGGGGUGCCAGGCCUGGGGGUUCCCCACGCGGGACAUCGAGGUGUCCUGGCUGCGGGGGAACACGACGCUGCCGGGGGCCGAGGCGGGCCCGGGGCUGCCCAGCGGGGACGGGUGCUACCAACGCCAGAGCCGCCUGCGGGUGCCCGAGGGCGAGGCCCAGGGGGUGCGGUGCCAGGGCAGGCACGGGGACCUGGAGACGCCGCUGGAGACUGCGUGGGCCUCCAGGAGCCCGUUGUACCGAGGGGGCGUCUCCCCUGGGACCGUGGCCGGGGCGACUCUGGGGGCGCUGGGGGGCCUGGCCGGCCUGGCGGGGGCGCUGCUGCUGUGCAGGAGGCGAGCUCGCUGGAAGCUGGGACAGUCCCGACUGGGCCUGGCCUCAGAGGAAGAGGUGCCCGAAGACAGCUGAUCCCAUGGGUCUGGCCGGAUUUUCCACCCGGACACCUGGGUUCCUGGCCACCCAAGGCUGGACACGUGAACUGAGUCGGAAACGUCGCCUGGCCCUUGAGAACCUGGGGGCCCCACUGAUUGUCAAUUGAUUUCUGCCCCCAGCCCUGCUGCCCCCGGUUCACUGUCCCCCCCCGCGCCCCCCACCCAGGGCCGCACGCCCAGGCAGGGAGCGAAGGGCCGUGGGAAAUGGCCCCUUUCCCUCGCUGGCCGUGCAGCGCCGAGCACCCGAGGCCGGGCCACUGCUGCAAUAUGGAUCAUAAAGAACCGUCUGUAAUCGUCA